rnacentral:rRNA from 1 species
UACGAAGGGGGCGAGCGUUGCCCGAAUUUACUGGGCGUAAAGCGCACGUAGGCGGCUUCAUAAGUCUGGUGUGAAAUCUCACGGCUCAACCGAGAGGCUGCACCAGAUACUGCGAAGCUCGAGGACGGGAGAGGAGAUUGGAAUUCCAGGUGUAGCGGUGAAAUGCAUUGAUAUCGGGAGGAACACCAGUGGCGAAGGCGGAUCUCUGGCCCGUUGCUGACGCUGAGGUGCGAAAGCUGGGGGAGCGAAAGGG